rnacentral:rRNA from 1 species
UAAUCUGCCCACUGAUAUAAUAUUAAAGGGGUGCAGUAUUUUGAGUGUACAAAGGUAGCAUAAUCAUUAGUCUUUUAAUUGAAGACUUGUAUGAAUGAUUGGAUGAAAUAUAAANUGUCUCUAAUAUUAUUAGUUAGAAUUUAAUUUUUUUAUUAAAAAGUAAAAAUAAAUUUAAAAGACGAGAAGACCCUAUAGAGUUUUAUAAUUAAUUUAAUUGAAAUUAUUUAUAAAGAUAAUUUUAAAUUAAUAAAUUAAAAUUAAGUUAAUUAUUUUGUUGGGGUGAUAAAAAAAUAAAAAUAACUUUUUUUAAUAAAUAUAUAUAUAUAUAUAUAUAUAUAUAUUGUAAACAAAAAUAAAUGAUUUUUUGAUCCAGAAUUUUUGAUUAUAAGAAAAAAUUACCUUAGGGAUAACAGCGUAAUUUUUUUUUUUAGUUCAAAUAAGAAAAAGAGUUUGCGACCUCGAUGUUGGAUUAAGGAAAAAUUUAAAUGCAAAAGUUUAAAAUUUUG